UAAGGAAUAUUGGUCAAUGGACGCAAGUCUGAACCAGCCAUGCCGCGUGAAGGAUGAAGGUCCUCUGGAUUGUAAACUUCUUUUAUGUGGGAAGAAAUGCAUUCUUUUUAGAGUGUUUGACGGUACCAUAGGAAUAAGCACCGGCUAACUCCGUGCCAGCAGCCGCGGUAAUACGGAGGGUGCAAGCGUUAUCCGGAUUCACUGGGUUUAAAGGGUGCGUAGGUGGGAAUGUAAGUCAGUGGUGAAAUCUCCGUGCUUAACAUGGAAACUGCCAUUGAUACUAUGUUUCUUGAAUCUUCUGGAGGUCAGCGGAAUAUGUCAUGUAGCGGUGAAAUGCUUAGAUAUGACAUAGAACACCAAUUGCGAAGGCAGCUGACUACAGGGGCAUUGACACUGAGGCACGAAAGCGUGGGGAUCAAACAGG
rnacentral:rRNA from 1 species